rnacentral:misc_RNA from 1 species
GAUGAAGAACGUAGCGAAAUGCGAUACGUAAUGUGAAUUGCAGAAUUCAGCGAACCAUCGAAUCUUUGAACGCACAUUGCGCCCGCCAGUAUUCUGGCGGGCAUGCCUGUCCGAGCGUCAUUUCCCCCCUCACGCGCCCCGUUGCGCGCUGGUGUUGGGGCUCCUCCGCCUGGCGGAGGGCCCCGAAAGCGAGUGGCGGGCCCGGCUGGUUGGCUCCGAGCGCAGUACCGAACGCAAGUUCUCCCCUCGCUCAGACGCCCCGCCGGCGCCCUGCCGUCAAAACGCGCAUGACGUGCAACUCUUUUUACAAGGUUGACCUCGGAUCAGGUAGGACUACCCGCUGAACUUAAGCAUCUCAAUAAGCGGAGGA